rnacentral:misc_RNA from 1 species
AAUAGCAAGUUAUAAUAAACUUUAUUAUACUCCAUUGAUUAAUUAGUGUGUUGAUGACUCUCAUACAUAAAUAAUACACCAACAUUAUACAAAUAGCAUUGUUGCAUCAUCAUUAGCACCAUGGGUUCACAGCAUGGAGGAACAUUUCCGUUGGAAGUAAGCUGAUGAAGCUGUGCCAUGGAUGAAUGAGAAGCAUAAAACGAUGAUCAAAACAUUUAGAAAUACUUAUGCUUGCAAAAAUAUUAGACUAGUGCAGCUACAUCUCUCAAUUUGAUCAAAGCCUUUAUUUUUAGGAAGAACGAGGCUGUUGCGAGGAGGAAU